rnacentral:rRNA from 1 species
GUCGAGCGGUAAGGCCUUUCGGGGUACACGAGCGGCGAACGGGUGAGYMACACGUGGGUGAUCUGCCCUGNACUCUGGGAUAAGCUUGGGAAACUGGGUCUAAUACCGGAUAUGACURCAKSMUGSAUGKGKUGUGGUGGAAAGAUUUAUCGGUGCAGGAUGGGCCCGCGGCCUAUCAGCUUGUUGGUGGGGUAAUGGCCUACCAAGGCGACGACGGGUAGCCGACCUGAGAGGDWRAMMGGCCAYACUGGGACUGAGACACRRNMNANACUCCUACGGGAGGCAGCAGUGGGGAAUAUUGCACAAUGGGCGGAAGCCUGAUGCAGCGACGCCGCGUGAGGGAUGAAGGCCUUCGGGUUGUAAACCUCUUUCAGCAGGGACGAAGCGUGAGUGACGGUACCUGCAGAAGAAGCACCGGCUAACUACGUGCCAGCAGCCGCGGUAAUACGUAGGGUGCGAGCGUUGUCCGGAAUUACUGGGCGUAAAGAGNUCGUAGGCGGUUUGUCGCGUCGUUUUGUGAAAACCCGGGGCUCAACUUCGGGCUUGCAGGCGAUACGGGCAGACUUGAGUGUUUCAGGGGAGACUGNAAUUCCUGGUGUAGCGGUGAAAUGCGCAGAUAUCAGGAGGAACACCGGUGGCGAAGGSGGGUCUYUGGGAA